GGACGAACGCUGGCGGCGUGCUUAACACAUGCAAGUCACGGGGGCCCGCGAGGGCAACCGGCGAACGGGUGCGCAACACGUGAGCGACCUGCCUUUCCGCGGGGGAUAGCCGGCCCAACGGCCGGGUAAUACCGCAUACGCUGCUUUGGGGGCAUCCCUGAAGCAGGAAACCUCCGGGGCGGAGAGAGGGGCUCGCGACCUAUCAGCUAGUUGGCGAGGUAACGGCUCACCAAGGCGGCGACGGGUAGCNGGUCUGAGAGGAUGGCCAGCCACAUUGGGACUGAGAUACGGCCCAGACUCCUACGGGAGGCAGCAGUGGGGAAUAUUGCGCAAUGGCCUAACGGCU
rnacentral:rRNA from 1 species